rnacentral:rRNA from 1 species
ACCUGCGGAAGGAUCAUUAAAGAUUGGCCGAAAGGCCUUAUCAUUAUAUCCCUCACCUCUGUGAACUGUGGACCCUCGGGUCUAUUUUACAAACAUCAGUGUAAUGAACGUAUAUAACAUUAACAAAACAAAACUUUCAACAACGGAUCUCUUGGCUCUCGCAUCGAUGAAGAACGCAGCGAAAUGCGAUAAGUAAUGUGAAUUGCAGAAUUCAGUGAAUCAUCGAAUCUUUGAACGCACCUUGCGCCUUUUGGUAUUCCGAAAGGCAUGCCUGUUUGAGUGUCAUGAAAUCUCAAUCCCCUCGGGUUUAUGAUCUGGGUCGGGACUUGGACUUGGGUGUCUGCCGGUUACACGGCUCGCCUCAAAUGACUAAGUGGAUCUCUCUGCAUCCGUGACAGACGUAAUAAGUUUCGUCUUGUCCCUUGCUAAUGAGUCUGCUCAUAACCUGCCAUCGCGCACUUUUAGACUCUGACCUCAAAUCAGGUAGGACUACCCGCUGAACUUAAGCAUAUCAUA